GUGAGAGACAUAAUAGUAAAAAAAAAAAAAAAUCCGGAAAUCACAAUGUAUGAUUUUUUUUAAUAUUUUAUUUGUAUGAUACAGCUGCAAAUACAGUAUUUGCACAACAUCAAAAAAGUCUAUCAGCUAGAAUUU